rnacentral:rRNA from 1 species
AAUCAACGCUGGCGGCGUGCCUCAGACAUGCAAGUCGAACGAUUAAAGCUCUCUUCGGAGAGUGCAUAGAGUGGCGCACGGGUGAGUAACACGUAAGUAAUCUACCCUCGAGUGGGGAAUAACGUCCGGAAACGGGCGCUAAUACCGCAUAAUGCAGCGGCAUCAUAAGAUGACAGUUGUUAAAGAUUUAUCGCUUGAGGAGGAGCUUGCGGCAGAUUAGCUAGUUGGUAAGGUAACGGCUUACCAAGGCUACGAUCUGUAACCGGUCUUAGAGGACGGUCGGUCACACUGACACUGAAUAACGGGUCAGACUCCUACGGGAGGCAGCAGUCGGGAAUUUUGGGCAAUGGGCGAAAGCCUGACCCAGCAACGCCGCGUGAAGGAUGAAGUAUUUCGGUAUGUAAACUUCGAAAGAGUAGGAAGAAUUAAUGACGGUACUAUUUAUAAGGUCCGGCUAACUACGUGCCAGCCGCCGCAGUAACAC